GCCGAGGUGGCGGAACUGGCAGACGCGCCGGACUCAAAAUCCGGUGAUGGUGACAUCAUGAGGGUUCGAUUCCCUCCCUCGGCA
rnacentral:tRNA from 1 species